rnacentral:rRNA from 1 species
AAUCAACGCUGGCGGCGUGCCUAACACAUGCAAGUCGCACGAGAAAGGGUCUUCGGAUCUGAGUAUAGUGGCGCACGGGUGAGUAACACGUGAAUUAUCUACCUUCGAGUGGGGAAUAACUUCGGGAAACCGAGGCUAAUACCGCAUAAUAUCUACGGAUCAAAGCAGUAAUGCGCUUGAAGAGGAGUUCGCGGCAGAUUAGUUAGUUGGCGGGGUAAUGGCCCACCAAGACGAUGAUCUGUAUCCGGCCUGAGAGGGCGCACGGACACACUGGAACUGAAACCGGUCCAGACUCCUACGGGAGGCAGCAGUGGGGAAUUUUGCGCAAUGGGGGAAACCCUGACGCAGCAACGCCGCGUGGAGGAUGAAGUCUCUUGGGACGUAAACUCCUUUCGAUAGGGAAGAUUAUGACGGUACCUAUAGAAGAAGCCCCGGCUAACUUCGUGCCAGCCGCCGCGGUAA